rnacentral:lncRNA from 1 species
CAGAAUCUUACUCCCUACACCCUGCCACUAUCAUUCUGCUCCCACGAACAAGGUUCGUGAUCAUCACAGGUAUCAACCACACGAUACAAAAUUGCAAGGGUGAGUUUAUUAUGAAAGAUCCAAUACCAAUUCCAAAUAACCACAAUUAGCAAGGAACAUAGGCAAACAUGAUAAGCAUACACAACAAUCAUUAUUCAACACUCAUAUCCAACAAAUAUUCAUCAUUCACAUCCAACAAUUACUCAUCAUCCAUCCAUGGACCCAAUCAAGACUGCACAGAAUGAUGCAUGCACCUGAUUCAACACUCAGAUGAAAUGUGGUACGUACCAACAACAACCAAACCUCAGGAAAUAGCCUAAGCGUGUCCACACGACACUCUCACUUAGGGAACUAUGCUGAGUUUGUCAAGACCACCCGGUUGUGCACAUAACAGCCCCCCUCCAAUAGGUGAUCAACCUGGGAGCCCAAAGGUGUUCCCUACCAGGUGACAAGCCCCCUAGUACAAAGUACACUUGGCCACAGUUACUCUAUUUCCUGUGUCGUAUGAGCUAUGAUCACGGCCAAAAGUAAGUGCCAAAGACCAUGGACCAAUUAAAGCGCCUAAGCAUCCCCUCAUAAAUGCUUAAAUUCUCUGACCACGCUAGUUACCCACGUUUGGGCCAUCCGACAAGGUCAGUGCACUCUACCCUCCAUGACAUACACUCCAUACGACGUAUGAUCAUGGCCAAAAGCUAGUGCCAAAGACCCUGGAAGGUCAGUGCACAGUGCCCCCCACGAACAUACACAACAUGCACAUGCCAAUGCAUUUCCAUGUCAUUCACAACAUAAAUAUCAUCUCAUCUCAAUGACGUUAUCAACAACAACAACAACCUCAUUUCAUAUUCACAUAUUCAUCAAUAAUGACAAUUCAUGUUGACAUAGUCUUUAUUAACAACGUCAUCUCAAAUCAAUAUCAUCAUAAUUAUCAUUAUCAUCACAUAUCAAUUAAAAUCCUCAAUAGCAACAUCAACAACAAUUCAAACAAACACAACAAUAUCAUUUCCACACGCACGGUCUUCAAACAACACAUUUCAAACAACCAAAACAAUAUCAUUCAGCACAAUAUAUAUAUAUAUAUAUAUAUAUAUAUAUAUAUAUAUAUAUAUAUAUAUAUAUAUAUAUAUAUAUAUAUCGCAUCCCAUUAGUUAAAACGUAAUUUUCUUUGAAGAAAAAUCAGCAUGCAACAGGGACAGGCAGAUAUCCUCACAGCUAGGUUCCCUGACCCUAACUAUGGUGUUAAAACGUUAAAUUUUAUAAUAAACUCCCCUCACCUAUCGUGAGCUACCCCACGGAUUCCUCGUUGCGUCACUUGAAGAUUCCUUUUUGUCCUUGCUCGUCGAUUCCACACAAGCCUCUACCAUGCCAAAACGAAGGAGACUUAGUAUGGAUUUCAGAAAACAAAGCUAGUAACAGUGCUCUGGGUCAAAUACCCACAUCACUACAUGAAAGAGCUAAGAGCAUUUCGGGUUUUACAAAGGAACGUCAUUUGGAAAUUCCGACCACGCCAAUGUGACCGGGGUUCAGUGUAGGUUACGAAAAUAACAUGCAUUUCAUGAAAGGAUAACGUUUACAAAGUCUCUUUCUCUAAGGUUUUUCAAAGGAAGCAUAAGACAGGCAAUGGUGGUUCCAAAGUCAGAAAAGAUGCAAAGACAAGAUGAAACUAACAAGAAACAAUCAUAGAACCAUGGUUACCUCGAAAUAAAAUGAAAGGUCGGAUUAGGGUUUCUUUCUCUACCGAAACCGUAAGCCAAGUUGGAAGAUUCCGCUUCAGUUGAAGGGUUCCUCUCGGUGUGGGGUUUCAAUGGAG